rnacentral:rRNA from 1 species
CAGCACCUCAAGUGGGUCAGGAUGAUAUUGGGCCUAAAGCAUCCGUAGCCGGGCUCUGUAAGUUUUCGGGGUUAAAUCUGUACGCUUAACGUACAGGCUGCCGGGAAUACUGCAGAGCUAGGGAGUGGGAGAGGUAGACGGUACUCGGUAGGAAGGGGUAAAAUCCUUUAAUCUAUUGAUGACCACCUGUGGCGAAGGCGGUCUACCAGAACACGUCCGACGGUGAGGGAUGAAAGCUGGGGGAGCAAACCGGAUUAGAUACCCGGGUAGUCCCUGCUGUAAACUAUGCAAACUCAGUGAUGCAUUGGCUUGUGGCCAAUGCAGUGUUGCAGGGAAGCCGUUAAGUUUGCCGCCGUGGGAAGUACGUACGCAAAGUAUG